rnacentral:rRNA from 1 species
CGAACUAGGUAACCUGCCCAUGUGUCCGGGAUAACUGCUGGAAACGGUAGCUAAAACCGGAUAGGUAUACAGAGCGCAUGCUCAGUAUAUUAAAGCGCCCAUCAAGGCGUGAACAUGGAUGGACCUGCGGCGCAUUAGCUAGUUGGUGAGGUAACGGCCCACCAAGGCGAUGAUGCGUAGCCGGCCUGAGAGGGUAAACGGCCACAUUGGGACUGAGACACGGCCCAA